rnacentral:rRNA from 1 species
AUGUUAGCGGCGGACGGGUGAGUAACACGUGGGUAACCUGCCUGUAAGACUGGGAUAACUCCGGGAAACCGGAGCUAAUACCGGAUAGUUCCUUGAACCGCAUGGUUCAAGGAUGAAAGACGGUUUCGGCUGUCACUUACAGAUGGACCCGCGGCGCAUUAGCUAGUUGGUGAGGUAACGGCUCACCAAGGCGACGAUGCGUAGCCGACCUGAGAGGGUGAUCGGCCACACUGGGACUGAGACACGGCCCAGACUCCUACGGGAGGCAGCAGUAGGGAAUCUUCCGCAAUGGACGAAAGUCUGACGGAGCAACGCCGCGUGAGUGAUGAAGGUUUUCGGAUCGUAAAGCUCUGUUGUUAGGGAAGAACAAGUGCAAGAGUAACUGCUUGCACCUUGACGGUACCUAACCAGAAAGCCACGGCUAACUACGUGCCAGCAGCCGCGGUAAUACGUAGGUGGCAAGCGUUGUCCGGAAUUAUUGGGCGUAAAGGGCUCGCAGGCGGUUUCUUAAGUCUGAUGUGAAAGCCCCCGGCUCAACCGGGGAGGGUCAUUGGAAACUGGGAAACUUGAGUGCAGAAGAGGAGAGUGGAAUUCCACGUGUAGCGGUGAAAUGCGUAGAGAUGUGGAGGAACACCAGUGGCGAAGGCGACUCUCUGGUCUGUAACUGACGCUGAGGAGCGAAAGCGUGGGGAGCGAACAGGAUUAGAUACCCUGGUAGUCCACGCCGUAAACGAUGAGUGCUAAGUGUUA